CUACAAGCGGGCGUUCGCUAAGCCUGACUAGUCCUGCUGGACGGCGAAGAAGAUGUGCAGGAUGAGCUUGAGGAU
rnacentral:misc_RNA from 1 species